rnacentral:rRNA from 1 species
AGCAGCCGCGGUAAUUCCAGCUCCAAUAGCGUAUAUUAAAGUUGUUGCGGUUAAAAAGCUCGUAGUUGAAUUUCGGGAUCAGUAUGUCGGUCGUGCUUCGGUACGUACUGUCAUUACUGGUUUCUCCCUUCUGACGAACCAUGAUGUCAUUAAUUUGGUGUUAUGGGAAGUUAGGACUGUUACUUUGAAAAAAU